rnacentral:rRNA from 1 species
UACGAAGGGGGCUAGCGUUGCUCGGAAUCACUGGGCGUAAAGGGCGCGUAGGCGGCGUUUUAAGUCGGGGGUGAAAGCCUAUGGCUCAACCACAGAAUGGCCUUCGAUACUGGGACGCUUGAGUAUGGUAGAGGUUGGUGGAACUGCGAGUGUAGAGGUGAAAUUCGUAGAUAUUCGCAAGAACACCGGUGGCGAAGGCGGCCAACUGGACCAUUACUGACGCUGAGGCACGAAGGCGUGGGGAGCGAACGGG